UACAGAGGGGGCAAGCGUUGUUCGGAAUUACUGGGCGUAAAGGGCGCGUAGGCGGCCUUCUAAGUCGAACGUGAAAUCCCCGGGCUUAACCCGGGAACUGCGUCCGGUACUGGAAGGCUUGAAUCCGGGAGAGGGAUGCGGAAUUCCAGGUGUAGCGGUGAAAUGCGUAGAUAUCGGAAGGAACGCCGGUGGCGAAAGCGAUCGACUGGACCUUUUCUGACGCUGAGGCGCGAAAGCCAGGGGAGCAAACGGG
rnacentral:rRNA from 1 species